rnacentral:hammerhead_ribozyme from 1 species
CACUGGUCGAGAGCUGUUGUCGCUCUCCUGAUGAGUCCAAGGCAGGACGAAACCAGUG